rnacentral:rRNA from 1 species
AACGAACGCUGGCGGCGUGCCUAACACAUGCAAGUCGAACGAGACCUUCGGGCCUAUUGGCGCACCGCUGCGUAACGCGUGGGAACCUGCCCGUAGGUUCGGAAUCACUCCCCGUAGGGGGUCCUAAUACAGGUUGAUGUCUUCGCAGCAAAGAGGUCUCGCUUUUGGGUGGGGCCUCGUUGGUUUAGCUGGUUGGUAGGGUAAAAGCAUAUCAACGCGACGAUGCAGAGCUGGUGUGUGAGGAUGAUCAGUAACACUGGGGAUGAGACACGGCCCAGACUGCUACGGAAGGCAGCAGUGGAGUAUAUUGUACAAUGGGCGAAAGCGUGAUAAAGCAAUGCCGGGUGAGUGAUGAAGGGGUUAGGGUUGUACAGCUGUCUUACACGGGAUGAUAAUGACGGUACCGGGAGAAUAAGCUCCGGCUAACUCCGUG